ACUCAUUGGUAGAGUACAAAGCUCUUAACCUUGUGGACGUGGGUUCAAGCCCCAU
rnacentral:tRNA from 1 species